GUCCAGGGAUGCCUAGUGGACAUGGCAUCUGCCCGGUAAGCGGAACAUUGUGGGUUCGCUUCCUAUCCCUGAACA
rnacentral:tRNA from 1 species